rnacentral:rRNA from 1 species
GACGAACGCUGGCGGCGUGCUUAACACAUGCAAGUCGAACGGAAAGGCCCUGCUUGCAGGGUCCUCGAGUGGCGAACGGGUGAGUAACACGUGGGUGAUCUGCCCCGCACUUCGGGAUAAGCCUGGGAAACUGGGUCUAAUACCGGAUAGGAGCCAUUUUUAGUGUGAUGGUUGGAAAGUUUUUUCGGUGUAGGAUGAGCUCGCGGCCUAUCAGCUUGUUGGUGGGGUAAUGGCCUACCAAGGCGGCGACGGGUAGCCGGCCUGAGAGGGUGGACGGCCACAGUGGGACUGAGAUACGGCCCAGACUCCUACGGGAGGCAGCAGUGGGGAAUAUUGCACAAUGGGCGCAAGCCUGAUGCAGCGACGCCGCGUGGGGGAUGACAGCCUUCGGGUUGUAAACUCCUUUCGCUAGGGACGAAGCUUUUUGUGACGGUACCUAGAGAAGAAGCACCGGCUAACUACGUG